UACCUGCAGCCCGAGUGGUGCUCGUUAUUAUUGGGGUCUAAAACGUCCGUAGUCGGUUGAGUAGAUGCCCGGGUAAAUCGCAGCGCUUAACGUUGCGAAUUCCGGGUAGACCGCUCGACUAGGGAUUGGGAGAGGUGCAUAGUACUCUGAGGGUAGGGGUAAAAUCCUGUAAUCCGUUGGGGGACUACCAGUGGCGAAGGCGAUGCACUAGAACAAGUCCGACGAUCAGGGACGAAGCCCUGGGGCGCAAACGGGAGUUAGAAAACCCU
rnacentral:rRNA from 1 species